rnacentral:tRNA from 1 species
AAUUAUAUAGUCAAUAAAUGAUAUUAAAUUGCAAAUUUAAUGGUGGGUAGAUUCCUAUAAUUU